AGUGAACGCGCGCCGUAGGCCUAACACAUGCAAGUCGAACGGCAGCACAGUGGAGCUUGCUCCUCCGGUGGCGCGUGGCGGACGGGUGAGGAACACAUCGGAAUCUACUCUGUCGUGGGGGAUAACGUAGGGAAACUUACGCUAAUACCGCAUCCGACCUACGGGUGAAAGCAGAGGAUCUUCGGACCUUGCGCGAUUGAAUGAGCCGAUGUCGGAUUAGCUAGUUGGCGGGGUAAAGGCCCACCAAGGCGACGAUCCGUAGCUGGUCUGAGAGGAUGAUCAGCCACACUGGAACUGAGACACGGUCCAGACUCCUACGGGAGGCAGCAGUGGGGAAUAUUGGACAAUGGGCGCAAGCCUGAUCCAGCCAUACCGCGUGGGUGAAGAAGGCCUUCGGGUUGUAAAGCCCUUUUGUUGGGAAAGAAAUCCAGCCGGCUAAUACCUGGUUGGGAUGACGGUACCCAAAGAAUAAGCACCGGCUAACUUCGUGCCAGCAGCCGCGGUAAUACGAAGGGUGCAAGCGUUACUCGGAAUUACUGGGCGUAAAGCGUGCGUAGGUGGUUAUUUAAGUCCGUUGUGAAAGCCCUGGGCUCAACCUGGGAACUGCAGUGGAUACUGGAUGACUAGAAUGUGGUAGAGGGUAGCGGAAUUCCUGGUGUAGCAGUGAAAUGCGUAGAGAUCAGGAGGAACAUCCAUGGCGAAGGCAGCUACCUGGACCAACAUUGACACUGAGGCACGAAAGCGUGGGGAGCAAACAGG
rnacentral:rRNA from 1 species